UACGGAGGGGGCUAGCGUUGUUCGGAAUUACUGGGCGUAAAGCGCGCGUAGGCGGCUUCGCAAGUCAGAGGUGAAAGCCCGGGGCUCAACCCCGGAACUGCCUUUGAGACUGCGUCGCUAGAAUCCGGGAGAGGUGAGUGGAAUUCCGAGUGUAGAGGUGAAAUUCGUAGAUAUUCGGAAGAACACCAGUGGCGAAGGCGGCUCACUGGACCGGUAUUGACGCUGAGGUGCGAAAGCGUGGGGAGCAAACAGG
rnacentral:rRNA from 1 species